GUUGAUAGCUCAGUGGUAAAGUGCAUGCUUUGUAUGUAUGACAUUCACGGUUUAAUCCCCAGCUUCCACA